rnacentral:tRNA from 1 species
GGGCUCGUAGCUCAGCUGGCUAGAGCGUUGCAUUGACAUUGCAGAGGUCAGAGGUUCAAGUCCUCUCGGGCCCA